rnacentral:lncRNA from 10 species
GUGUGGGCGGCGGCGGCGGCGGCUGCGCGCUUGGGGCCCGGGGCGCGGGGCGAGGCCGUGGGGACGUGCGAGCGGGGCCGCGGUGGGGCUCGGGGGCGCGUCCACGUGGCCAGAGGGCGGCCACCCGGAGCCAGCGGAGGGACAGGUGUACCAGGAUGAGUUUGUGUCCUCCCAGAUCAAGAUCCCCUCAGACACGCUGUCCUUGUACCCUGCCUUUGACAUCUACUACAUCUACGGCUUCGUCAGCGCCUCCUUCGUGUACUUCCUGACGCUGCAGCUGGACACCCAGCAGACGCUGUUGGACACAGCGGGCGAGAAAUUUUUCACGUCCAAGAUCGUGCGCAUGUGCGCGGGAGACUCAGAGUUCUACUCAUACGUGGAAUUCCCCAUCGGCUGCUCCUGGCGCGGCGUGGAGUACCGC